GUUUGUAGUGAGUGAAGAGUGUGUAUAAUGAAUGCAGCGUGUGCUGGAUGAUGUGUGUGUGCGCGCUGGAUGACGUGUGUGUGCGCGCUGGAUGACGUGUGUGUGUGAGUGCUGGAUGAUGUGUGUGUGAGUGCUGGAUGAUGUGUGUGUGUGCUGAAUGAUGUGUGUGUGUGUGUGUGAGUGCUGGAUGAUGUGUGUGUGUGUGAGUGCUGGAUGAUGUGUGUGUGUGAGUGCUGGAUGAUGUGUGUGAGUG